rnacentral:rRNA from 1 species
AGAAUCAACGCUGGCGGCGUGCCUAACACAUGCAAGUCGAACGAGAAAGUGGAGCAAUCCAUGAGUAAAGUGGCGCACGGGUGAGUAACACGUGACUAACCUACCCUUGAGUGGGGAAUAACUUCGGGAAACCGAGGCUAAUACCGCAUAACACCUACGGGUCAAAGGAGCAAUUCGCUUAAGGAGGGGUCGCGGCAGAUUAGUUAGUUGGCGGGGUAAUGGCCCACCAAGACAGUGAUCUGUAU